rnacentral:lncRNA from 1 species
AUGUUCAGUCUAGUAAUAUUUCUUCAUAGUUGAACUGGAUUUUCUAUUUACAUUUUUUCGCCUCCACAGUUUUCUUGAACCAAACCAAACUGAACUAAUGCGAUCUAAAUUGAACUGGAUUUUCUUAGCGUGCGCUUGGUUCGUGAUAUCUUUUUAAGAUUCCUACUAAUUCAAUAGAAAAAAAAAAAGUAUGAUAGUGUUUGGCUAAACGCAUUAAUUAAUCUAGUUGAUAAUAUUAAAUUUACUUGGAAAUGAGAUGUAUCCCAAAGUAUUAAUCUCAUUCCUUUGAGAGAGGGUGGGUAUCCUUAUAUUAAUGGAUUGGGAUAAUUAUAAUAUGUCUAAUCUCUUUCUUUCUUCUCACCGGGGCCCGCCGGCUAGUUGGUAUUAUUUUUCUCGGCUAGUUGGUAUUAUUUUUCUUUACAUUCUAACCUCAUAUCUCUCUCUAAACUUAUCUUUUUCUCUCUAAACUUCAACUAUUUUUCGCUCUCUAAACUAUGUUAUUUCUCCCCCUCUCUUUCUAAAAUCUCAACCUUCUCAUUCUCUCUAACAUCGACUCUAUUUCUCAAAGGAUGUUGAAAUUUUUUAUAGUAUUAUUUAAAAUUAAUUAAAAAAAUAAAUUAACUAAUUGUAUAUUUUUUGUAAUCUUAAAUAGCAUGACUUAAAUAAUAUGACCAUAGAAACCAAAUACCGAAAUAUUACAUUUUUAGUAAUAGGAUUAAUAGGAAUAAGAUUCUCGGAUAUAUUUUUACUUCUAGUAAUCUUUUAUAGUAUGAACCAAACGCGCCUUUAAUACCAUCCCACCCCCCUCACCUUACACGCUCUCACAUUCUCUCAUCUCUUUCCAAAACAUACAUAAUACACCCCAUUCACCUCUCUUCAAAUUUUCCCAUUGCUUUUCAAAAUGUACAUGAUCAUUUUCACCUCUCUUCAUAUUUUUUCAAAACGUACACUCUUUCACCUCCCUUUAUAUUUUUUUCAAAACGUGCACCCUCUCACCUCUUCUCAUUUUCCACUCAUCAUAAACAUCCUCACCUACCCUCAUCUCUUUCCAAAAUCCUAAUCUCUUCUUCUUCUUCCUCUCUCUUUCUUUUCCCUCAUUAACAGAGGAGUUGGUAAUAAUGUUAUUUCUGGUGGACGUGGUAUAGGUUGCUAGAGUGUUCGCUGCUAUGCCGAGAAGCUUCACUAAUCGUCAUGGCCUCCUUUCUGUGUGCUAUGGUUGUGGCGCUCGCUUUCUCGCCUCCUCUCAAACCUCCUCCUCUGUCGCUUUUAACGUCCAAUUCGACUCCUUCAUGUCAACUCCUCUCAAACCUCGUCCUCUAUCGCUUUUAUCGUCCAAUUCGACUCCUUCAUGAUUGACAGUCUAAACUUCCUCCCUUUCUCUUUUUUCUUCAUAUGAAUUUUUUUUCUUUUCAAUUAAAUCCUUCUAAUAUAAGAUACGGUCCCCUGGAUUUAGGAAGAGGUUUGCAAGGCUAAAUUUGUUUGGAUUUUGCGAUAUCAAGAUUGUUUACCAUGCACGCCAACUGUUCCACGCAUUGUCUCUAAGGAUUAA